AUACUUACUUGGCGUCGAGGUUAGCUGCGUUCAAAAGGGCGGCGCCUCCGGGACGAGGCUCGACCAUUGCACUCGGGUCGAGCUGACUCCUGGUAUUUGCUUCUGUUGGGAGCGGAUACGCGCGUAAUUUUUGGUAGCGGGGACUGCGUUCGCGCUUUCCCCAU